CUACCCGUCAAUCAAUUUAUUUACUUAACGCUGCUUCCCACAUUUUUAUUGUAUUGCUGUAAAAAAAAAAUCUAUCUUCCUAUUAUCUCUCUUUUCGUGACAUUUUCCCAUCAUUCAGGUUCGUUCCCAUGCAUUCAUCUACUCAUCAACCUAUUUAUUUACCCAUCGCCGCUUCCCAUCACAUCACUACAUUGCUGUAAAAAACUCCAGCUGUUAAUUUAUUUUCCUGACAUUUUUACACUUUACAUUUUACUUUCAGGGUCGCAUGCACGAAUUCAUCAAUCCAUCAACCUUUAUAUUUACUCAUUACCACCUCCCACACUCGCGUUGCAUUUCGACACUCGGCGCUAAAAAUAUGCCACUAAUUGUAAUUGCCUAAAACACUCUUUUGUUGCCCACCACAACACAAAAAUAUAUUAAUCACCACAAAUUGUCAUCCAUUUAUUUCGACAAUUCAUCCCACGCAUUAUUCUCCAUUCAUUUAAUUCACGGUUAAUGGUAUUUGUUCAGUAUGCAUGCUUUAUGGCUGCACACAAAAAUACAUUGAUAGUCAUUCGCUGCUACAUGUGAAAAAAGAAAGGCCGAUGAACGGAUAUGGGAAAGCGUGUAGGUGAUGCCAGUUGUAAACGUUAUGAGAUCGCAUAUUUCCGCAUAGAUUAACGUUCACUAUGUAAGUCAAUUGUGUGAUCGGAGGCAAUGUGAGGUGAGCCAACUAGCGCAUUCCGGACCAAUAUGUGUCGGACUUUCCCUGUGCAGCUAUGAAAAGGAGGCAGAAAAGAUAGUUGGAGAAUUGAUGAGUGGUGGAAAAAGAAAGAAAAUACAGGUAAGAGUGGAGGAGAAUAUAUUAGUAACGAAAGUAGGCAGUGAAAUACAGGUGAAGAAUAUAUGAUAGGUGAGAGAAGAAGCAUAUUUAGGUUGGAUGAGAAAGAUUAAAAUUAAGUUAGGUGAGAAAGAUUAAAAUUAGGCUGGAUGAGAAAUAUUAAAAUUAGGUUGGAUGAGAAAGAUUAAAAUUAGGUUGGAUGAGAACGAUUAAAAUUAGGUUGGAUGAGAAAGAUUAAAAUUAGGUUGGAUGAAAAAGAUUAAAAUUAGGUUGGAUGAGAAAGAUUAAAAUUAGGUUGGAUGAGAACGAUUAAAAUUAGGUUGGAUGAGAAAGAUUAAAAUUAGGUUGGGUGAGAAAGAUUAAAAUUAGGUUGGAUGAGAAAGAUUAAAAUUAGGUUGGAUGAGAAAGAUUAAAAUUAGGUUGGAUGAGAAAGAUUAAAAUUGGGUUGGAUGAGAAAGAUUAAAAUUGGGUUCGAUGAGAAAGAUUAAAAUUAGGUUGGAUGAGAAAGAUUAAAAUUAGGUUGGACGAGAAAGAUUAAAAUUGGGUUCGAUGAGAAAGAUUAAAAUUAGGUUGGAUGAGAAAGAUUAAAAUUGGGUUGGAUGAGAAAGAUUAAGUUCCAAAAGAGGUAAAAGAUGUAAAAGGAGAGUUCUUGAUGGCUGGAAAAAAAAGGAAGAAAAGAAAAGGGAUGAGAUACAAAAAUAAAUUAGAGAGGAUGUGACGAAUGACGGGAAGCUUAUAAAAAAGGAGCAGGAUAAAGCUGGAUAGGAAAAGGAUGAAGUAUAAAAAGGCAGAAAAGGAAAAAUGAAGAGUUGAAAGCUGAAAAAGAAGCGCACGCAGGGUAAAUGAGAAAGAUGAAAUAGAUAAAAAAAAAAGAGGUGGAGAAAGAUAAGUGGAGAGUGAACAAUAGCUUAAAAAAGAAGCAAAAUUAGGGUGAGUCAAAGAUGGAUUACAAAAAGGGGCAAGAAGGAUGAGAAUAAAAGAGGUAGAGAAAGAUAGGUGGAGAGUGAACAAUAGCUUAAAAAAGAAGCAAAAUUAGGGUGACUAAAAAAUAUGAAUUACAAAAGAGGGCAAGAAGGAUGAGAAUGAAUAUAACUUAAACGAAUAGCAAAUAUAGGCUGUUAAAGAAAUAUGAACUAAUAGAAAUAGUGGAAAAAAUACUAAGUGAUAACGGGUGAGUAGAGGAGUGGAAAGGUAAAUAGAUUGGUGAUGAAAUAUAUAUAGCCAAAACAAUUAUUGAAUUCUGGGAAAAAUGAGGUUAUGCGUGUGUGGAAGGGUGGGGAAGGGUGCCUUAUUUUAUAUUUAAAUGCCAAAGAGCGAGUAGCGAGCUUUUUUUUUUAUUGUUGUUUCCUUUUUUUGUGCCCUUGUGCUGUCUCCCUUGCUGUAAAAAAAAUAAUAAAGCCUGCAUCCGGGCAUUUCUCUUGCUGGUGCCCGCAAAUCAAGGUUACAUCUACCACUUUUAUACGCAAACAUUUCCAAUUAGUGAGGAUAGGUGAGCGAUACUUAUACUAUCUUCACGUUGCUGUGCUUAAAUCCUCUUAUUGUAAAGUUAAUACCGUCGAUUAUUUUUAUUUUUAGUUAUAGUAGUGGUUGAAGAGUGGGGAGGGCUGUGGACUAGUCGAUUAAGGUGUUAAGAGCCAAGGAGAGGAGGUUCGAGCCCCAGAUUCUCCGCGUAACGCCAGGAAGGGGAUCCGAUCUUCAACACUAAGGGUCGCAUUUUUAACCCGUCCUGGUAACAUAUAGUCCCAGGUCUUUCUCUGCUUCUGUGGUGGAUAGUGAAGUGUUUCCCAUGUGGUAUUGGUAUGCUAAAUUUUCCCUCCCAAGCUGCAUGACUUUACAUUUUUCUUCAUUGAAUUAUAACAGCCAUUUUUUGUUCGAUUCCUGAAGCUUGGCGAGGUCUUCUUGUAGGAAGUCCGGAGUCAUUGGGUUAACAAGGCUUUCUUAGGCGUUUUGGGGCAUUUCAAUUGGGUAGUUUAAUGACCCUGGUGGUAGUCUGACCGGUUUGACCCUUCUUCUCUACCGUGAACGUGAAACAACACUCAUGAGAACCCGAAUGAUCUCCUUUUCUGCCUCUGGAAAUAGUUGGUGUGGGAGGCGGAGGAGUCUGAGAAUACCGACCUAAUCCACGACCCCAAAAAACUGACCCUAUAUGAACUAGAGUGAAAAUAGUCAUGACAAAAGAAGAAUAAGUAAUUGGAAUAGUAGUAGAAAAUAUCAGGAAAUGAGGUUCGAGCCCCAGUGUCUCCGCUUAACGCCAGGAAGGGGAUCUGGUCUUCAACACUAACCCACGACCCCAAAAACUGACCCUAUAUGAAACAGAGUGAAAAUAGUCAUGACAAAAGAAGAAUAAGUAAUUGGAAUAGUAGUAGAAAAUAUCAGGAAAGGAGGUUCGAGCCCCAGUGUCUCCGCUUAGCGCCAGGAAGGGGAUCUGGUCUUCAACACUAACCCACGACCCCAAAAACUGACCUUAAAUGUACUAGAGUGAAAAUAGUCAUGACAAAAGAAGAAUAAGUAAUUGAAAUAGUAGUAGAAAAUAUCAGGAAAUGAGGUUCGAGCCCCAGUGUCUCCGCUUAACGCCAGGAAGGGGAUCCAAUCUUCGACACUAGCCCACGACCUCAAACACUGACC